GACGAACGCUGGCGGCGUGCUUAACACAUGCAAGUCGAACGGAAAGGCCCUGCUUUUGCGGGGCGCUCGAGUGGCGAACGGGUGAGUAACACGUGAGUAACCUGCCCUUGACUUUGGGAUAACUUCAGGAAACUGGGGCUAAUACCGGAUAGGAGCUCCUGCUGCAUGGUGGGGGUUGGAAAGUUUCGGCGGUUGGGGAUGGACUCGCGGCUUAUCAGCUUGUUGGGGGGGUAGUGGCUUACCAAGGCUUUGACGGGUAGCCGGCCUGGGAGGGUGACCGGCCACCUUGGGACUGCGGUACGGCCCAGACUCCUACGGGAGGCAGCAGUGGGGAAUAUUGCACAAUGGGCGGAAGCCUGAUGCAGCAACGCCGCGUGCGGGAUGACGGCCUUCGGGUUGUAAACCGCUUUCGCCUGUGACGAAGCGUGAGUGACGGUAAUGGGUAAAGAAGCACCGGCUAACUACGUG
rnacentral:rRNA from 1 species